rnacentral:lncRNA from 1 species
UGGAGUAACAGGCUCAUGUAACAGGCUGCAGUUCCUCUAACAGGCUCAGCAGACUUCAGUUCUGACACACAGUUGCCAUCUGCUUGUCUCUAGGUGCUGUGAUGAGCUCCCAUCCCAGACGCCCACUGUGGCCCAGCCUCCUUGUUCCCAGUGCCCAGCUCCCAUACACAUAGCCCUCUCACACUCCAGCCGUCUUCUUAUGAUUUGUCUUCAGCAUCAUGUGGCUUCUAUGUGUUUAAGCUUGAGGCGCCGGAGAGCUUUCAAGGAAAGGCCUUUGUGUUACCUCCAUUUCAUCUGUGAGAAAGAGAAUUUGAAUGGACGAUCUCUAAAGUCUUUCAUCGGAAAAGCCCCUGAUGCUGGGAAAGAUUGAAGGCAGAAGGAGAAGGGGACAGCAGAGGAUGAGAUGGCUGGAUGGCAUCACUGACUCGAUGGACAUGAGUUUGAGCAAGCUUCAGGAGCUGGUGAUGGACAGGGAGGCCUGGCGUGCUGCAGUCCAUGGGGUUGCAAAGAGUCGGACAUGACUGAGCAACUGAACUGUAUUGAAAGUCUUCUAACACUCGAUUUUUAUACUUUUAACUCAUAU